UCCCCUGUGGCUCAGUUGGUAAAGUAUCUGCCUGCAAUGCAGGAGACCUGGGUUUGAUCCCUGGGUGGGAA
rnacentral:tRNA from 1 species